rnacentral:rRNA from 1 species
AUUGAACGCUGGCGGCAGGCCUAACACAUGCAAGUCGAGCGGCAGCGGGAAAGUAGCUUGCUACUUUUGCCGGCGAGCGGCGGACGGGUGAGUAAUGCCUGGGGAUCUGCCCAGUCGAGGGGGAUAACUACUGGAAACGGUAGCUAAUACCGCAUACGCCCUACGGGGGAAAGCAGGGGACCUUCGGGCCUUGCGCGAUUGGAUGAACACAGGUGGGAUUAGCUAGUUGGUGAGGUAAUGGGUCACCAAGGCGACGAUCCCUAGCUGGUCUGAGAGGAGAAUCAGCCACAAUGGAACGGAGACACGGUCCAGACUCCUACGGGAGGCAGCAGUGGGGAAUAUUGCACAAUGGGGGAAACCCUGAUGCAGCCAUGCCGCGUGUGUGAAGAAGGCCUUCGGGUUGUAAAGCACUUUCAGCGAGGAGGAAAGGUUGGUAGCUAAUAACUGCCAGCUGUGACGUUACUCGCAGAAGAAGCACCGGCUAACUCCGUGCCAGCAGCCGCCGUAACAC